UCGGAGUCCUGCUUUUAAUCUUGUCUAUCGUUUACAAAUCGCUUCUCUCCACGGGUGGGACCUGGACAUGCGUGUUCUCCUGGAUUCGGUUUGGGGAAGUCCGUCUAAGGGGCUCCUCGCCGUGAAAGUACUCGAGCUUGAACGUAUGUCCUUGUCUCGGAUGGGUUUUUGUCACCUAGAAUCGAUGGCUGUUCCCCCGCCAGGGAGUUUAUGCCAAGCCAGAAAAUCUUGCUCAGAAGCUUCCAAACCUUGUGGAACUGUACCUUUACUCAAAUAACAUAGUUGUGGUUCCAAAAGGUA